UACGGAGGGUGCAAGCGUUAUCCGGAUUCACUGGGUUUAAAGGGUGCGUAGGCGGGACGUCAAGUCAGUGGUGAAAGCCCACAGCUCAACUGUGGAACUGCCAUUGAAACUGUCGUCCUUGAAUUUAGUUGAGGUGGGCGGAAUGUGUCAUGUAGCGGUGAAAUGCUUAGAUAUGACACAGAACACCAAUUGCGAAGGCAGCUCACUAAACUAACAUUGACGCUGAGGCACGAAAGCGUGGGGAGCGAACAGG
rnacentral:rRNA from 1 species